rnacentral:rRNA from 1 species
GUGUCAGCCGCCGCGGUAAUACGGAGGGUGCAAGCGUUAUCCGGAUUUACUGGGUUUAAAGGGUGUGUAGGCGGGCAUUUAAGUCAGAGGUGAAAUCUCCGGGCUCAACCCGGAAACUGCCUUUGAUACUAUUUGUCUUGAAUUUCGUUGAGGUUGGCGGAAUAUAUCAUGUAGCGGUGAAAUGCAUAGAUAUGAUAUAGAACACCGAUUGCGAAGGCAGCUGGCUGAACGAACAUUGACGCUGAGGCACGAAAGCGUGGGUAGCGAACAGGAUUAGAUACCCUGGUAGUCCACGCCCUAAACGAUGAUUACUCGACAUACGCGAUACACAGUGUGUGUCUGAGCGAAAGCAUUAAGUAAUCCACCUGGGAAGUACGUCCGCAAGGAUGAAACUCAAAGGAAUUGACGGGGGUCCGCACAAGCGGUGGAGUAUGUGGUUUAAUUCGAUGAUACGCGAGGAACCUUACCUGGGCUAGAAUGCCAUUUGACCGCCAGUGAAAGCUGGUUUUGUAGCAAUACACGGAUGGCAAGGUGCUGCAUGGCUGUCGUCAGCUCGUGCCGUGAGGUGUUGGGUUAAGUCCCGCAACGAGCGCAACCCCCAUCUUCAGUUGCCAGCACGUAAUGGUGGGAACUCUGGAGAAACUGCCGUCGCAAGACGUGAGGAAGGAGGGGACGAUGUCAAGUCAUCAUGGCCUUUAUGCCCAGGGCUACACACGUACUACAAUGGGGAGGACAAAGGGCAGCGACCUNGUAACAGGAAGCGAAUCUCNAAAACCUCUUCUCAGUUCAGAUUGAGGUCUGCAACUCGACCUCAUGAAGCUGGAAUCGCUAGUAAUCGCGCAUCAGCAAUGGCGCGGUGAAUACGUUCCCGGACCUUGCACACACCGCCCGUC